GGAGCAGUUCGGAUCUCCUCUCACACACACCGUUGUCCUAACACAGAUACUUGUACAGAUUCUACAUAGAUACGUGUAGGUUCACAAACAUAAAUACAAUACAGUAACAAGUGCAUUGGUGAUUUAAAUGCCUAUGUGUACCUACGGAUCACGAACAGUCGGCGAAGGCGGGCAGAUCGAAGAUGGCCACACAAUACAUAUACUCGUACGUGAGUCAAGAUAAUUUUCGGUGCCAGUGAUGUUAACCUAGAUAUUUUUACGCUAACAUGCGGGUAAAUUUUUGUCCUCGGCUUUACGAUAUUAUUUUUAAGCAAAAAACGCAAAAGCUAUUGGCAACACUCUCGGAUUCAAUCUUUAUUUUCGCUAUCUCCUUCCCAUUUGUGGUUUUUGAGAGGCUAAGGCUACGCACUUAUGAAUUAAUAUUGAAUAUGGAAUAUCCAUAUAUGUAUAUGUGAAUACAUUAAAAUAUAAACAUGUAUUUUUACGAUGGAUUUAUCUAUUAUUGCCUUGCCCUUGCGAAGAGCAUUCUUAAUCAAAACAUACAUAACUGUUUUAUAUUCUAUCAAGACUGUUUUGGUAAGGUUCCAAAGUCCUUCUUUUUUCCAAUGUUAUUGGUAUAUUUAGUAUACUAGUUUCAAUAAAUAUUAUAUAAUAUUCAUAGAGUAGUAUACUCUAUAAUCUAAGAGCAAAAAUGGAUACUAAGUCAAAAAUUAAAAAGUUCCCAACCCCAUUAAGUAUGUGGUAAUAGCAAUGUUGAUGCUUAAAUAAAUGUUUCUUCUGACAGCGCUUAAACACUUGUUUAUAACUUUUAAAAUUAAUAUUUCGAUUGCCACACUUCGCCCCUUGGUUCUGUAUUCAACAACACUGUCUCGAACCAAAUUUGCUUUUAUAGUUUCCGAGACGAGAGAAUGUACGGACAUAACUAGAUUGAUUCGGCUAGGGUCAAUCAAUUGCAUUUAUCUGAUAUACAGCUUUAAUCUAAAAGACAUUUUGCGGUCUAUAAAGUAUUUGGCCCAUCAUUUAAGGAGUUGGUGUUUUUGAAGAAAUAAACUCUAUAUAUAUGUAAUCCCAAAAAGACGUAUUUUGGAAACCUCCGAGGGUUUUAUAAUUUGUGAUCGUUAGAACUUCUUAGUUAUGCCGUGUACCCAAUGACUUUAUUAUCCUCUCCUCUUUGGUUCAGUAAAAAUUUUAAAGGCUUAAUUAGUCAGCGGUUCGAUGCCGAAAAGGGUGGAGAACGUUUGGUUAAAGCGGUAUGCUCGCACACUUGUGUAUACAUAUGUGUAUACACACAUUGGUCAGUGUUUAUAUCAUAUAUCUACGUAUAUAUACAUAUGUACGUACAUAUAUACAUUCAAGCCGUUAACGUAUAAUGUCUUCUUGAAUCCAGUUUCUUUUUCGAUUAAGACGGAGCAAGCAGGCAGAUUGAAGCAUCAUCAUUAGCAAGAAACUGAGCUGAGAAGACCUUUGGAAUAAUGUUGUCCGACGAAGACAAAAAUACAUACAAAUUUGUACAAA